rnacentral:lncRNA from 1 species
UGGAGGAGGUUGGGUAUUGGUUUCUGCAUGGAAGUGACCAGCAUUGUCCCCCAAUGAGAGGCUGGGAAUCCAUGUGGUCCCAGGUAUAUACUGCUUCGGGCUCAUUGUGGUGUACCUGGCUGACGCUCACCUCCUUGGGUUUUUCCCAGGAUUCCAUGUGUCAGCAGAUAAAGGACCAGAGGAGAAUCCUCUUGGCAGGGGCCAGGAAGGCUGCGGAGCUCGAGAUACAGGAGGCCCUGGGCCAGCUUGAAGAGCCUGCCCUCCUCAUCAGCUGUGCAGGAGCCACAGGUAGACUCCCGGCUGCCCACCUGCUGGGCCCAGCUGCCCUGCACUUCCGGUUGGUGUCAAGUCCCCAGAAAUUGUGACUUAAGGGGCACUGUGGCUCACAGUUUCAGAAAGUUCCAGUCCUCAGUGACGAGGAAGGCAUGGAAGAACAGCUCCGUGUACUGAGCGGAGAGAGCGGAAAGCAAGACAGGAAAUAGGCAGGGAGAACAGACUCCCAAGAUCUAACCCCCGGGGACCUGUUUCCUUAAUACGCUCUGCCUCCAACAUGGCCAUAGCCUCCCAGAUUUUGUGAGUUCCGGGACAGGCAGAACUGUAUCGUGAGACCGUGUCUUAAUAACGAUAAUAAUAAUAAUAAUAAUAAUAAUAAUAAUAAUAAUAAUGACAUGAUGACCUUGUAAGAGACACUUAAGAGUCAAUCCUUGCAGUGUGCUAUGGACCCUGAGAUAAUGUAAGGUGAGGGACAGGGCCAGGGACAUGGCCCAGAUGUUACAGUGCUUGUGUAGCGUGUUCAAAGCCCUCGAUUCGAAUCCUAGUACCACAUACACUGGCUAGAAUAGCACAGGUCUGUUAUCCCACCACUUCAGGGAGGGAGGCAGGAAGAUCAGAAGUUCAACGCCAUCUUUGGCCACGUAGUGAGUUCAAAGCCAACCUGUCAAAAAGAAAGAAGGAACCAAAAGGGAUCUACAGAUUCAAUGCAAUCCCCAUCC